rnacentral:rRNA from 1 species
AUUGAACGCUGGCGGCAUGCCUUACACAUGCAAGUCGAACGGCAGCACGGGAGCAAUCCUGGUGGCGAGUGGCGAACGGGUGAGUAAAGUAUCGGAACGUGCCCAGUCGUGGGGGAUAACGUAGCGAAAGUUACGCUAAUACCGCAUACGAUCUAUGGAUGAAAGCGGGGGAUCGCAAGACCUCGCGCGAUUGGAGCGGCCGAUAUCAGAUUAGGUAGUUGGUGGGGUAAAGGCUCACCAAGCCGACGAUCUGUAGCUGGCCUGAGAGGACGACCAGCCACACUGGGACUGGGACGCGGCCCAGACUCCUACGGGAGGCAGCAGUGGGGAAUUUUGGACAAUGGGCGAAAGCCUGAUCCAGCCAUGCCGCGUGCAGGAAGAAGGCCUUCGGGUUGUAAACUGCUUUUGUACGGAACGAAAAGGUUUGGGCUAAUAAGCUGAGCUCAUGACGGUACCGUAAGAAUAAGCACCGGCUAACUACGUGCCAGCCGCCGCCGUAA